rnacentral:rRNA from 5 species
UUGGAGGUUGUGGCCUUGAGCCGUGGCUUUCGGAGCUAACGCGUUAAGUAGACCGCCUGGGGAGUACGGUCGCAAGAUUAAAACUCAAAUGAAUUGACGGGGGCCCGCACAAGCGGUGGAGCAUGUGGUUUAAUUCGAUGCAACGCGAAGAACCUUACCUACUCUUGACAUCCAGAGAACUUUCCAGAGAUGGAUUGGUGCCUUCGGGAACUCUGAGACAGGUGCUGCAUGGCUGUCGUCAGCUCGUGUCGUGAG